rnacentral:lncRNA from 1 species
UUUGUUUUCAGUUACAACCCAAUACUUUAUUGCAUACAAUGGCAUUACAACGCCAAUAAACUAUUGGUUACAACGUGCGGAACGGGUGGAUAUUUUAGCUCACGAAAUGCAUGUGAACAGACUCCAUGAUGAUUGUGUAUUUUUAUAAUACAAUAUAAUGGGGAAUACAAACUUCAUUUGUGAAGCCUUUACGUCGUAAUGUCGGGAGCGAUUAUAGAAUACCCGGCCACUUUUGAAUUUUGAUAGUGUUUGCUUUUGGGGGAUACGGGGAUACGCAGUCAUUAAAAUGACGUAAUUAUUCGAGUAGUUUAAGAGGAGAAUGGGUAACUAUUAUAUUUCAAUGAUAUGGGGAUACGGGGAUACGCAGUCAUUAAAAUGACGUAAUUAUUCGAGUAGUUUAAGAGGAGAAUUGGUAACUAUUAUAUUUCAAUGAUACGGGGAUACGCAGUCAUUAAAAUGACGUAAUUAUUCGAGUAGUUUAAGAGGAGAAUGGGUAACUAUUAUAUGUCAAUGAUACGGGGAUACGGGGAUACGCAGUCAUUAAAAUGACGUAAUUAUUCGUGUAGUUUAAGAGGAGAAUUGGUAACUAUUAUAUUUCAAUGAUACGGGGAUAUGGGGUACGCAGUCAUUAAAAUGACGUAAUUAUUCGUGUAGUUUAAGAGGAGAAUUGGUAACUAUUAUAUUUCAAUGAUACGGGGAUACGCAGUCAUUAAAAUGAAGUAAUUAUUCGAGUAGUUUAAAAGGAGAAUUGGUAACUAUUAUAUUUCAAUGAUACGGGGAUACGCAGUCAUUAAAAUGACGUAAUUAUUCGAGUAGUUUAAGAGGAGAAUGGGUAACUAUUAUUUUUCAAUGAUACGGGGAUACGGGGAUACGCAGUCAUUAAAAUGACGUAAUUAUUGGAGUAGUUUAAGAGGAGAAUGGGUAACUAUUAUUUUUCAAUGAUACGGGGAUACGCAGUCAUUAAAAUGACGUAAUUAUUCGAGUAGUUUAAAAGGAGAAUGGGUAACUAUUAUUUUUCAAUGAUACGGGGAUACGGGGAUACGCAGUCAUUAAAAUGACGUAAUUAUUGGAGUAGUUUAAGAGAAGAAUGAGUAACUAUUAUUUUUCAAUGAUACGGGGAUACGGGGAUACGCAGUCAUUAAAAUGACGUAAUUAUUGGAGUAGUUUAAGAGGAGAAUGGGUAACUAUUAUUUUUCAAUGAUACGGGGAUACGGGGAUACGCAGUCAUUAAAAUGACGUAAUUAUUCGAGUAGUUUAGGAGGAGAAUGGGUAACUAUUAUUUUUCAAUGAUACGGGGAUACGGGGAUACGCAGUCAUUAAAAUGACGUAAUUAUUGGAGUAGUUUAAGAGGAGAAUGGGUAACUAUUAUUUUUCAAUGAUACGGGGAUACGGGGAUACGCAGUCAUUAAAAUGACGUAAUUAUUCGUGUAGUUUAAGAGGCGAAUUGGUAACUAUUAUAUUUCAAUGAUACGGGGAUACGGGGAUACGCAGUCAUUAAAAUGACGUAAUUAUUCGAGUAGUAAGAGGAGAAUUGGUAACUAUUAUUUUUCAAUGAUACGAGGAUACGGGGAUACGCAGUCAUUAAAAUGACGUAAUUAUUCGAGUAGUAAG